rnacentral:rRNA from 1 species
UACGAAGGGGGCUAGCGUUGCUCGGAAUCACUGGGCGUAAAGGGUGCGUAGGCGGGUCUUUAAGUCAGGGGUGAAAUCCUGGAGCUCAACUCCAGAACUGCCUUUGAUACUGAGGAUCUUGAGUCCGGGAGAGGUGAGUGGAACUGCGAGUGUAGAGGUGAAAUUCGUAGAUAUUCGCAAGAACACCAGUGGCGAAGGCGGCCCACUGGCCCGGUACUGACGCUGAGGCACGAAAGCGUGGGGAGCAAACAGG